UGAGGAAUAUUGGUCAAUGGGCGAGAGCCUGAACCAGCCAAGUAGCGUGCAGGAUGACGGCCCUAUGGGUUGUAAACUGCUUUUAUAAGGGAAUAAAGUGAGUCUCGUGAGACUUUUUGCAUGUACCUUAUGAAUAAGCAUCGGCUAACUCCGUGCCAGCAGCCGCGGUAAUACGGGGGAUGCGAGCGUUAUCCGGAUUCAUUGGGUUUAAAGGUGCGUAGGCGGCUUUGCAAGUCAGCGGUGAAAGGCCCGGGCUCAACCCGGAAAGUGCCGUUGAUACUGUGAGGCUGGAAUGCGGAUGCUGUGGAGGAAUGAGUGGUGUAGCGGUGAAAUGCAUAGAUAU
rnacentral:rRNA from 1 species